GGGCACGAGUGAGGCUCCCCAAUUGGAUGUUUCGGGUGAAGGGCGGGGCGUCAAAGGGUCGCUAACGCUAUCUGGGCGAAACAGGGGAGGGAGAAAGGAGAAAGCGGAGCGAGGGCACCCCGCCCCACACACCCCGGUCUGACCCCCAGCCUGGCCGGGACUCCAGGCUGCGUCACUACGGAGAGUUGCAGAAGUGGGGCCCAUCCUGCAGGCCAAGGAGGUGGUGCCCUCAUUCCCCAGACCUCGGGCUCUCCCAGGACCCCAAUCCAGGGAAUGAUCCUCGGGCAGCCCUCAAGCCUCUGAUGGGACCCACCAGGGCCAAGGAAAGACCUGGGCACCACCUGUCCAUGCCCCAAAUUCUGGUGUGCCCCAGGCAGAAGCGGGCAACCCUGAGACCACCCCACCCCAGCUUUCCACUAUCGGACUGCAGCCACACAGGAGAUCAAGUGACCAAAUCAGCGUUCUAGCAGAGGUCAGACGGCUACGUGGGGGAUCUGUGAGUCUCGAGUCUCCGCCUGUCCCUUGGAGGGGAUUUUGGGAGACAAGAUGGACCCUGAGUUACAGGACACCCAGCUAUGCUCACAGAGGAGGACACGGACUCCAUGCUUGGCAACAGACACCAGGAGAGGAAAAGCUAAUGCCUGUCCACUUCUUCUAAUCUUUCCCCAGCCCUGCUCCCCCAAUCUAUCUUUUCCCGGACACUCAAAGCACAGAAUUCCUGAAAGCUCCGAACUCCCAGCUCUGCCAUCUCUGGAACUCCUUUCCAAUCCUCCCUCCCUCCUUCCUCAGGGCCCGGCGAUUGGGGAUGGGUCUUCCCCUCCCUGAUUUCCAAGACCUCUAUUCUCAUCGGUUCCAAAUCCAGCAAAGGGAGUCUCACUAAAGCUGAAAAUGUGAGGACUCGC